CUCCCCGUCUCCUUUUCUCCCCCCCUCUGUCUCUUUAUAUUACAAAUAAUGUCUCUGGAAUAAUACGUGACCUCACCCAGCUCGAAGUGCAGGAGCCAUGCCUUUAUUUCAAGCUCUUUCAGCUGUUGUUCCCCCUGCUUCUCGGUGAUUUAGCUAUGAAGAGUCUGCCAGCCCUGAGUGAUGAACUGCAACAGCGCCAAAGAUGCUCGGAUUCAGCACGUGCUCCCUCAGCGCUCACACGCUCCCCGAGGCCAGCGCCCUGGCACCGGGCCGGGCGGCUGAGCUGGACGCCGGCUCCCAGCGCUACGUCCUGGCCCUGCCCGAGGAGGAGACGUGGCGCAAGCACCGGCUCGGCCUC
rnacentral:lncRNA from 1 species